UAAAAUUACAUUUGACUUGUCUUUUUCACUAAAUAGUAUUUGUUAUUAAGCAACACUUUCCCAGUUAUAGUGUGCUAAGUAGACUAUGCCUUUAAUGGGUUUACAAUAUAGCCUUCCUACAAAUUUGAAAAGAGUCAUAUUCAAGCCCAGAGUUUCCUAUCUGGUAGAUGACAAGCAUGCCCAGGUUCCCAAGUGUGGCUGGUGAUGUGUAAUCCACAAAUAUUCAUUUAGCAAACAAACUUUUUAAAGUUUCUUUCCUUACCGGACAUGGUCAGGGGAGGAGUAACAAUCAUGGUCUGAUCUUCUGACCUAACCAGGGUGUGUCCAGUAUCAGACAACACUCUCUGGUCACUGGUCACAAGUGACUGGUGAUGAUCCAGAUUUGUUUGCAGGCAGCUCCAUGGAAACUCCAAGAUUCCACCAGGUGCUGACAGGUUUGGAGGGAGAAUGACGUCAUAAAACAGACAGUAGCCAAUGGAAUGGUCUGACUCUGAGCUGAAAGACAGGAGAGGGUAGGAGAUGAAGACCAGCUAUGAGUGACUUAACCUGGACAGACCAAGCGUAGCCCAGUGUCCAGAACAUCAAACUAUAGAAUGCUGCAUAAUGAGUGGAUCUUUCCUCCGCAGUCAACCUAAUCAAGUUGCAAUGAGAACAUUGGGUAAUAUAAAGAGCACUGCACAGCCUGAAGAAAGCAGGAAGCUCUGGAAUUUGCGAUGAUCUGAUCUUUCCAUUCGGGUGCUAUAAUUGGUUGUGGAGAGGAUGGAGAGGACAACACAACAAUGAGUUUUUGAUAAGAAUGGUGUCUCUCAGCCACAGUCACCUUGAAGAAAAAGAUCUGCAAUGUGUUUGACAGGCUGCAUUAAUACUUUAAAGGCACAGAAGACUGCAGUGAAGCAUACUGAACCUGAGAGAGUCAAGGGCAACUUCAGGCAAUCUGGUGAGGGAAAGCCUCCUGUUGAGGAGACGCUAUUUAUUAUAUCAUCUAAUGAAUGAGGUGUUGUUCAAGUCAUGUCUGAGGACUGGGAGAAUUACAGGUUGAGAAAAUGUCAAGUGCAAAGGCCCUAGAGGUAGAGCAACUAGAAUGUGCAUGGAGAGCUGAUCAUAAUCCCACGUGGCCCAGUAAAGAAGACAGUAUGGAGAGACCCACAGUGCGGGAUGGCAGAGGUUGAAGCUUAUUCUAGGACCAAGGGGAAAGCAGUGAUAUGCCGAAUGUGGUGUACACUUUUAUUUUGUUUUGCAAAUAAAGAAUAUCACUACUACCUAAAGCAUAUAAUCAUGAUGGCACCCACGAUGACAGAAGACGGCUGCGCAUGACGUUAUCAGGGAACAGAACGCCGCGUCAGUGGCGGCACAUCUUCCGAUCCUGGCUGUUUUAUAGGAAAGGGAUAUGUGGCCUUUCUUUCUUAUUCACAGAGGAAUAACUCCAGUGGAUGUGAAAAACAAAAGAGACUGAAAAGAAAAGGCUGCACCAUUCUGGAGUGGAAAUGGGAGGAAGGAACGAAACCUUCAAGGCAGGAAGGGGAUAUCUGCUGAAGUUCUACAGCUGGGCUUCUGCUAGGCACUCCCUGCUUGAUGUUGUUGUAUCCUGGGCUCUCAGAAGAGACAUUUUUUUCCCUUCUGUAUCUUUCCCUUUAUAUUCACAAGCUGUCCAUCUUAGUCGUCCUAACUCUGCUCCGAAUGUUUCUGCUAUCCAUUCAAUCAUUUAAUGGUUUCCUGAGUUGCAGUCUCCUCUUUGGCAUUUCCUUUCACGCAUUAUGUUUUCGGUGUUUCUCACAUUUUAAUUUACAGCUCACCCAAGAUGGAGCACUACUUGUUUGAACAGCUUGUGUGAUCCUACUGGAAACUUGGAGGCUUUCCUUUCUACCCCCCAGCUCCCGCCCUUUGCUU